CCUUACCCAGCAAGGUCACCGUCUCACAGUUCUCCUGCAUGACGUCCCUGUAGAGGGCUCUCUGAGCGGGGUCCAGCAGAGCCCCCUGCCCGUGGGUGAAAUACACAGCCACCUCCUCGAAGGUCACCGGCAUCUGAAACAACAAGAGUCUCCCACUCAGCAUCUGCUGCCCCAGCCACAAUCCCGCUAGUCAUGCGGG